GACGAACGCUGGCGGCAUGCUUAACACAUGCAAGUCGAACGGAAAGGCCCUGCUUUUGUGGGGUGCUCGAGUGGCGAACGGGUGAGUAACACGUGAGUAACCUGCCCUUGACUUUGGGAUAACUUCAGGAAACUGGGGCUAAUACCGGAUAGGAGCUCCUGCUGCAUGGUGGGGGUUGGAAAGUUUCGGCGGUUGGGGAUGGACUCGCGGCUUAUCAGCUUGUUGGUGGGGUAGUGGCUUACCAAGGCUUUGACGGGUAGCCGGCCUGAGAGGGUGACCGGCCACAUUGGGACUGAGAUACGGCCCAGACUCCUACGGGAGGCAGCAGUGGGGAAUAUUGCACAAUGGGCGGAAGCCUGAUGCAGCAACGCCGCGUGCGGGAUGACGGCCUUCGGGUUGUAAACCGCUUUCGCCUGUGACGAAGCAUGAGUGACGGUAAUGGGUAAAGAAGCACCGGCUAACUACGUG
rnacentral:rRNA from 1 species